CUACCGUUCUGCCUCCGACCGGUCGUGUGUGGGUUUACUCGGAGGUGCUUUGCCUCUGAAGAAAAGAGGCGGGUGGACGGGGUGGGGGGGGGGGUGGGAGGCGGGGGCUUGUGGAGUUGCGCUCACGCUCGCACCUGCCGGUCCCCGCCCUGACCGCGAACGCUCAAGGUUGCCGCACGCAGGUUUUUCCUGAAAUACUAGGCUUUAGAAUUUCACCAUAUGAAUUUUGGGAGAGAGGAGCACAGUUCAGCCCAUAACUAACACACGACGGAAUGAAGUUGAUAAUAGUGAGACCUUGUUGGUACAAGACUAUGUAACAUAACCUGCGCUUCUCAACAAAGAAUUGCUUUUCUGACUUCUGCACUCAAUAGCAAGACAAAUCUCUCCUCUGCCUUCUCCUUAUCAGACUACUCAACAUGAAGGCAAUAAGAAUGAAGACCUCUAUGUAUAAUAAUUGACUUCCACUUAAUAAAUAAGGUUACUUGGUACACUGGUCGACAAAACCUUGAAAUGUUGAUGUUUAAGGGCUGUUGAUUGCUGGCAGCAAAGAAGUCCAACUGUGCUGGUACCCGAGAUAGCGUCUCCACAUUUUCUUCCAGGAUCAUCACCUUUGUUCUAAAUAGCUCCCACAUAGUGUGAACAGAAGUCAUAUGUUUUAGAUUUUCUGCCUUGGCACCCAGG
rnacentral:lncRNA from 10 species